CAGCAUCUAGUGAAACUGGCAGCAGAGUCAGAUAGUAGAGGAGGUUGGGGAGAAACAUGGGCCAGAACUGGUGGCUGAGGAAGGCUCAGAGGAGGGUUCUGUGUCAGAGGCAGAGAUGGGGC